rnacentral:lncRNA from 1 species
ACACUGUGGAUCACACGCAUUAGCCUGGCACCUGGCAGCGCCCCGAGGGUCACAUUACUGGAAGAAGAAACCUGGAGCUGAUUCACAAAAGUAGAGUAAUCCUGUCUGCAGUUGAGAGUUGAAGCCACGAGGUGGCGCCCUCAGCACACUACUUGAGCUGUUGGGUUUUCCAGCGGCAAUGACCAGCACGGGGACAGAGGAUGUCCUGAAGAGGGGCUCUGUCCGCUUCAGGACGUCCAGGGGAGUCACCUGUGUAACACUCACAGGAAAUACAUGCUUCUGUGGGUACACAGCUGGGAACAGGGUGAGGCAAGUGAGUUAUCUUGGGUGCAAAUUUUAAGGGGCAAUGAGCGCCCCUCUCCCCUCACCCUGGUCCCGGCCCUGGGCCACCGGACUGGGACAUGUCUGUGAGGACCAGAGUUGGGGAGCGGCUCCCUGACACCCCAGGAGAGAGGGUGAUGCUUUGACCUCAGCCCUGGUCAGGUGGGGCCUACACCACGGGGACGCUAAAGCCCCUAUUCUGAUCCAGAGGCUGUGGCCGGAAUAAACGGAUGUACUUUCUGGGAGGGGAUUAAGGGGAUGGACGAGGUGCUGCCCCAUCCCUAUUCCCACUAUGAAUUGGAGCCACAGGGACAUGGAGGGUGUGGAGCUGAGCCGAGUGCGUCCCUGGAGUGCCCUUUCCUGUCUGCACUCGGGCUGGGCCAGCCUCCUGUGGCUCCUGCACAUGGCAGCCCCCCUCAGCUGGAGGAGCCACAGUGGAGCAGGCGUGGAGUCCGUGGCACCAUGGCAGGGGGUCUCUGUCCAGGGCCUGGGUACUCGGUGACACUGGGAGAGAAUGCAGCCUGCAGCGUGGCCUCGGAAACUGGAAUAAGAGAGCUGACCUAUGAAGGAGGCACGGGAAGCUGGGUGCAGAGAUGACCGAGAAACUGGCAAACAUUUUGGUAAACCAGAGCACCAUGCUGCGUGAGUGAGGAGUAACCAAGGUGGAAGUGUUAAGGAUGAGGUGGAACGAAUAUUCAUACCAUACAGUAACUAACACUGAACACAGUCACCUGGAAGAGAAGACUGGGGAGAAUCGGGACAUUAAGGCUCCUGGGCACUUGCGGUUUUUACUCCGGGUCAGCGCUGUCCAACAGGGAUAUAGUUUGAACCACGUCUAUAAUUAAACGCUUUCUGGUAGCCAUAUUAAAAAAGAAACAGGUGAAAUUGGUUUAAUAACAUAUUUUAUUUAGGGCAAUAUAUGCAAAAUACUAUCAUUUCCACAUAUAAUCAUUUAUAAAUAUUAUUUAUUGAAACAUUUUGUAUUCCUUUUUUUAUACCAACUCUUUCAAAUCCGGUGCAUAUUUUACAUUUAUAGCAUAUUCCAAUUUGGAUACUAAAUUUCUGCUGCAAAUAUUUUAUCUGUAUUUAGAGUUUACAAAAUUUAGAGUUAAAAAAAGAUUUUCAAGUUGUUCUAAACAUGCGUUUUUAGUAAUUGGAUUGUGUAUCAAUUUCUAAAUUAAGAUUAAAUAAAAUUGAACAUUUAAGUGCUCGGUUGAUCUAAUUUCAAAUGUGAUUAGUGGCCCUACUGUAUUGGAUAGUGCAGUGGUAGGCAUUUAAAAG